rnacentral:SRP_RNA from 1 species
ACCAGGUGCAGCGGCAUGUGCCUGCAGUCCCAGCUACUCAUGAGAUUAAGGCUGAAGGAUGGCUUAAGUCCAAGAGCUCUAGGCUAUAGUGCACUAUGCCAACUGAGUGUCCACACUAAACUUGGCAUCAAUAUGGUGACCCCCAGGAGGAGGGGACUACCAGGUUGCCUACAGAGGAGUGAACCAGCCCAGAUCAGAAACAAAGCAGGUCAAAACACCUGUACUGCUCAGUAAUGGGAUCGUGCCUGUGAAUAGCCACUGCACUCCAGGCUGGGCAACAGAGCAAAACCUUAU